UCGUCCUCUCUCACUCUCUCAAAAACGGGCAAAGAGCUCUGAAGAAAACCUCUCCCGCCGUUGAAGCAAGUUAGUGAUUUGUGGUUUUAGCUUCGAAGAUCGAUUAGUGUUAUGGGGAUUUCUUUUUCAAGUUAUCGAAAUUAAAACCCCUAAAAUACCACAAGCAGAAGACGUAAUAAUCUAGUACUUGGAUUUGGAUUUGGUUUUAGACGGACUAUUACUACUACUAACUCUAUGCUGCCUCGGUAUUUACAAUUUCAUAAAGCUACCACAAACAAGAAGAAGAUUUCCGGACCUAAUUUACAGUUUUAAUUUUGAUUUUAUUUUUUUAUUUGAUUCAAAUUGAAUUAUUAGCAAAUUAUGAUUGUUGCGGCUGUUUAGUUGAUGAUGGUGGUGUUGUUUGUUUGUGUAGGUUGUACGUAUGGAAUAUCCGAGACCUGAACUCGAUAACACAGUUAAUUACUUAGAAGCUUCUUACUUUUCAUCCUCCUUCAUUGUUUACACAAGACCUAAUAAAUCUUUGAUUGUUGUCAUUUCUGGUGCAGAUCAACAUGUUUAUACUACCUGCAUUAAGGUGAAACAUAAGAGAGUGGUCGUGGAUGUUGAGAGUUCAGUGGAUGUUGUUUACAAGCUGAAGGAAUCACAUUUGAGUCGAAGCCAGGUAGCGUACAAAAGGAAGCAUUUGGUUCACUUAAACCGGUUGAUGGAGAACAUGUUGUGGACAUUUACACUGGUUACCAUUAAAUUUGGGGUAUACGCUUAACUUGUGAUUUCUGAAAGCAUCAUUUGUAAAGCAGACAUUGGGAUUGCUGCAUCCAGGAACGCAAAUAUGGUAUGACGAGAUUCGUUUCAUGCCCCUAAAGUUCCAAUCUUGUAUGCCACUGAAAUAUUUACAUCCACAACUACUGGUCUGUAGUCUGUAAAUUACAUCAACUAAGCCUAAACAUCCUUGUUAGAUUGAAAGUUCAAGCCUAUUGCCGUGGCACCCCUUAGAAGCAAGGAGUGAAGGAGGUUGUUACUACUGUACCAUGAGGGUAGUUGUUACUGUUAUUUCGCAAAAAGGAAGAGUCGGGUAAAUGUGUACUGCAUACUUGCAGUGGAUCCGUUACGUUCCAUGUUGUUAAUAUAAGAACAAACAUCGAAAUUAUGUUUUUCGUUGGAGGCUUCGAGACACCUUGCAUUUUAAAAAGGUCAAGCCUAUGAAAUUCGCUAAUCCAAAUUCUCUUUUGUAUGGUCAUCUCUCUGGCAUUGAUUCGUCCGGGACAUCGGUAAAAUUUAGUAUAUCUCCUACAGCUUGUAUCGCUGCUAAUUAGAUGUUUUUUUUUUCUUUUUAUUAACAUAAAUUCGUGCCGUGCAGAUGAAAUUGACAUGGGUAAGUGGUGAUAAAGAACCUCAACAGGCUUAAUAUGGGGAUGGAAAUUCACAUGCAUCAGAUGCUAAUACGUUUACUCAAAAGCAAAUGCGUAGCAAGUCUCUUAAUAUUUGUUUAACAGUAACUUACCGGAAUCUAGUGAAAUGAAUAAAAUGCUUCAAAUCUUUUGUAUAAUGCUUCUAUAAUGUCUAUCUAUACAGAUUCACCAAUAAAAAGAACAACUAUUGAUUUUGGAUGGCAUGACCCUGGUUACGUUCAUUCAGCUGUGAUGACUGACCUUCAACCAUCAACCACCUACUCCUACAGAUAUAGCAGUAGCCUGGAUAUCUUUCUGUGACGGAAGCCAUGCGGAAAGAAGUAGAAUCAGUCGAAGUGGACUCAGUCUUUCAUAUCGGAAACAUAAGCUAUGCCACUGGUUUCCUGGGACUAUUUCCUUAGCCUGAUCCAGCCAGUUACUUCUCAUUUCACCUACAUGACAACAAUUGGCAACCAUGGGAGAGACUACAUAAACUCCGGAUCGGUUUAUAUAACCCCAGAUUCUGGUGGAGAAUGUGGAGUUGCUUAUGAGGCCUAUUUUCGGAUGCCCACAUCUGCGAAAGACAAACCCUGGUAUUCAAUCAACCAAGCCGACAUUCACUUCACUGUAAUCUCAACAGAACAUCCUUGGACUGAGAACUCUGAACAGGUAUUUAGCUGUGGGACUGAUGCAUAUCCCUUGCUAAGGGAUCUUUGUACUAAUACUAUAGGUAUUGAUAUGUUGUCAAAUGGCAGCUGAUUAUCACUCGGAAACACCUCAUUUAACAAGUAUCCAGAUUUGGAAUUGGAGGAGUGCAAGAGAUUUACUCGUGCAUGUUUGGGUUCUUCAGGUAAUUAAACCUGCUGCUCGGGAACUUGAAUUGAAUUAAGAGUGUAAUGCUACCCGCUGGUCUCCCGAGGAAUUUGAACGUAAGUUAUAGUACAGAUAUGGAGCACACUGCACAAAAUAGAUUUCUACCCAAGUGUAGUGUUCUACCGAAGUAUACUGUUCUAUAUUGAUGUCUUUGUAUGUACAUGUACUGCCAGUAACCACCUUUCGGCUUUUCACUGGUUGUCUCAUAACGCAGAGGAGUUGAACUCACCAUGCAUUGAGAUCAGAUAUUCUUUAGAGAUUCCCAGUUAUCAAUAAUCAGUAAUUCUCUGAAGUAGAUGCAAUUGGUGUUCAUUCUGCUUUUUUAAUGUUGCUUCGGGUUGUUGAACUGCCCUUGCUUCAUCCAUUUCUUGUAGAUGGCCUCUUCAAAGAAGGCUUGCAUUGUGUCUUUCGAUGAAGUAGAUGCAAUUGGUGUAAUUCCGUUUUCCUGUGUAAUGCAGCAAACCGCCGUGAGAAAGAAGCUUAAUUGAAGAAGCAAAUCAAGAAGCAACAGGAGGAAGCUGAAAAAGAACAAAGAAGUGAGAUAAGGAAACAGCUGAUUCACAAGUACGAGUUUCCUAUAUUCUUUGUAUAUGUGUCUUCUCUUCUGAAACUAAACUAAGAGUGUUGAUUUAAAUCUUGAAGAAAUGUAGUCACAAAUAAUAAACAUAGUUGUUUCCUUCCCUUUCUUUUGUUAAAUAUUUUUGAUGUUUAAAUAUGUAUCGUUGAGCA